GCUGACUCUCUUUUCAGACUCAGCCCACUUGCACCCAAGUGAAUUAACAGCCUUGUUGCUCACACAAAGCCUGUUUAGGUGGUCUUCUAUAUGGACAUGCUUGACACUUGGUGCCAAAAUCUGGGCCAGGGGGACUCCUUCGUGAGACCGGCCCCCUGUCCUGGCCCUCACUCCGUGAAGAGAUCCACCUGCGACCUCGGGUCCUCAGACCAGCCCAAGGAACAUCUCACCAAUUUCAAAUCGGAUCUCCUCGGCUUAGUGGCUGAAGACUGAUGCUGCCCGAUCGCCUCAGAAGCCCCCUGGACCAUCACAGAUGCCGAGCUUCGGGUAACUCUUACGGUGGAGGAUUCCCAGCCAUAUGAAGACACCCUAGCUGGACGAUCAGUCCUUGUCAAAAGUCUGACCCCUCAAACUCUACAGCCUCAAUGGACCAGACCCUACCCGGUCAUUUAUAGCACACCAACUGCCGUCCAUCUGCAGGACCCUCUCCAUUGGGUUCACCAUUCCAGAAUAAAGCCAUGCCCAUCAGACAGCCAGCUUGAUCUCUCCUCUUCCUCCUGGAAGCCACAAGAUUAGGCCGAGAGCCGAUCAGACAAACAACCUACAACCCUUAAGCUCCUGGCAGCGCCCAGCCAAGGCCAUGCUUCCAUGCAACACUCCUUCCAAAUGGCCAUCCCAGCAUGCUUCCAAGCAGGCUUCAUCCGUUCCUCUGGACCCUCAUCUCUUAAGACCUGCCGCCUAUAAAAAGGAUUAUAUCUUGAGACCCUAUCCUCUAAAAUUUUUUCCACACCCAAAACAAAAAAUCUCUGGGUCAAAAGUCUAAAACGCUUAGGCUGGCAACCAUCAGAUCCUUGCCCAUGGUGUCCUCAAGCCUACUCUCAUGAAAUGGACAACAGUACACGCAUAUGGGGCCAGUUCCACAUAUUUGGCAACCAGACCAGCAUCCAGGACAACACAAAGUAUGUUGUUUGUUGUUAGAGGGCUUGGGACAUUUCACUCUUUGCCAGCCUCAGCUUAAUCCAGGAGACAAAGAUUAUUUUCCUUAUUAUCUCUUCUGCAUAGGAUCUGCAAUCAGAACUAUUGAACUUCUCCAUUCAGACCGCCACUCACACCUAUGGGAAAAGGGUAAUGUAUCAUCGGCUUAGCAACAGGGAAUACUAUUCGUAUGAUGGAAAAUGGGGACAAAAGGCUUUGGUACAUAAAACAUUAUUCCUUCCUUGGCCUAAAAACUCAUCGCCACCUACAUUAAAGCUAAUAUGCCUG
rnacentral:sRNA from 1 species